rnacentral:rRNA from 1 species
UACGGAGGAUGCGAGCGUUAUCCGGAUUUAUUGGGUUUAAAGGGUGCGCAGGCGGUCUGUUAAGUCAGCGGUCAAAGCCCGGGGCUCAACCCCGGCCCGCCGUUGAAACUGGCAGUCUCGAGUUGGAGAGAAGUAUGCGGAAUGCGUGGUGUAGCGGUGAAAUGCAUAGAUAUCACGCAGAACUCCGAUUGCGAAGGCAGCGUACCGGCAUCCAACUGACGCUGAGGCACGAAAGCGUGGGGAGCAAACAGG